UGUGAAUCUGAAAAUGUCCUA
rnacentral:piRNA from 1 species